rnacentral:rRNA from 1 species
AUUGAACGCUGGCGGCAGGCCUAACACAUGCAAGUCGAACGGUAACAGGAGGAAGCUUGCUUCUUUGCUGACGAGUGGCGGACGGGUGAGUAAUGUCUGGGAAACUGCCUGAUGGAGGGGGAUAACUACUGGAAACGGUAGCUAAUACCGCAUAACGUCGCAAGACCAAAAAGGGGGACCUUCGGGCCUCUUGGCAUCGGAUGUGCCCAGAUGGGAUUAGCUAGUAGGUGGGGUAACGACUCACCUAGGCGACGAUCCCUAGCUGGUCUGAGAGGAUGACCAGCCACACUGGAACUGAGACACGGUCCAGACUCCUACGGGAGGCAGCAGUGGGGAAUAUUGCACAAUGGGCGCAAGCCUGAUGCAGCAAUGCCGCGUGUAUGAAGAAGGCCUUCGGGUUGUAAAGUACUUUAAGCGGGGAGGAAGGGAGUAAAGUUAAUACCUUUGCUCAUUGACGUUACCCGCAGAAGAAGCACCGGCUAACUCCGUG